ensembl:lncRNA
AUGAUGACAGUUAGAAAACAUGAAUGGCUACAUUCUCCCAAGAAAAGCUCUCCCUGUGGAGAUGAGCUACAGAAACUGGAAGAGCUCAACAUUAAAGAACUAGAAGAACAUAUGGGAAGGCCAGAGGUUAACUUCUCUGUGGAUGAUGAGACAGAUUUGCCUUCCCACCUAAAAGCUAAAAGCUUCCACAAGGGACUUGUAACAACCUAGGAGUAUUAGCCGGGUGUGGUGGUGCAUGCCUGUAGGCCCAGCUACUCAGGAAACUGAGGCAGGAGAAUCGCUAGAACUCGGGAAGCGGAGGUUGCGGUGAGCCCAGAUCGCACCACUGCACUCCAGCCUGGACAACAAGAGCGAAACUCCGUCUCAAAAUUAAAUAAAUAAGUAAGUAAAAAUAAGAAUAAAAAAAGACUCAGGAGUAAAUACCAGGAAAUUUGAUGUAAAUCUUACUAACUCCAACUGGUGAGUGAUAUAGAAUAGCAUUCAGAGUAAUUUGUCACAGAACAUAUUUUCCAGAUGAUUCUUGGAAUUUAGCUUGGUAAUAUGGAUAAUUUGCUUUUUCUGAUAUUUGAUUAUACUUGUUCCACUCAUAUUUUAGCUUAAAGGGGUAUUCCUCUUCUCUCCAAAUAUAUUUACUAGCUUUCCCACAUUUUCCCCCUCCCUUGAAAGCAAGAAUACUACUAUUAAAAUGCACUACUUACUUGAAAUUCUCUUUUGUAAGUGAAAAAACUCAAAGCAUUUUUUUCUUUUACCCCUUCAAGAGGUAAAAUUAAAAAGCAGUGUUUCAUAAAUGGAAACAAUGAGAAAACCUUGGCAAGCACCACUGAGGUGAUGAAUUGUAAUUCAACAUGAAUGUCAUUCCCAUCCUCUUGUGUGAUUUGACAGUUACUGAAGGGCUUGCAUCUUUAAUUGUAUGGCGUUUGUGAUAAUAAAAGUGUAUGCAUUUUUACAAUAAGAUUGUUGGAUUGUUACUCAGGCAGAACAGUUCAUUUGAUGAGACUUAGCAGUAUACUGAGAUUCCAAGUUGGUUCAUCUCCAUUAAGGAGAGGAGAGCUCCCCCUAUACCUCAUGUUUUCUAUCUGGCUCCCAGGGCAGGCUAAGACUGAAUGGAAAAAUAGUGGAAUAUUGACUGACAAACAUUUUCUGGGAAGGGGCAGAUAGCAAAUAUUUUUCACUUUGCAUGCUACACGGUCUCCAUCACAAAUAAUCAACUCGGCUGACAUAGCAUGAAAGCUGCCAUAGACGAUACGUAAAUGGUGGAUGUGGCUGUGCUCCAAUAAAACUUUACCAGAAACCUGGUGGCUCACAAUCCAAAGUUUGGUAACUUUGGUUGGAAUGUGUGCAUUCUUAUUUUGUGACAGGUACCAUUUAGCAGCUUUAUAUACAUUAGUAUGCCUAAUGUAUGUAAAACGUAAAUAUAAAAUGUAAAACUCUCACAUUUUCAGUGUAGUAGAACCAAUGAUCACACUUUUCUUUAGGCUGCCUGUAGUUUAUGAUGUUCUUCUCAACUGUUCUCUUAGAUUUCCAAGAAGAUCUUAGCACAGGGUCGCUGAAAGGGAACAUGGACUCCAGAGAAAGUCUUGUAGUGCAGCAAAUAUUCCCAGUGAGCCUGACCUAAGCAGUGUGAAGUUUCCCAAUUGAAAGGUUACCUUUUAAUGAAUCAGAUCUAGAAGGGCGCAAAACAGACCCCAGGAUUUGAGCUUUCAGAACAAAACCAUCCACUCAUGUAUGUGCAGUGCUAUGGCUAGAACUCUUGGGCUAUCUUUUUGUAGGAUGGAGCCAUUCUGGCUUCUGAAGCUUGCCCUUGUAUUUUGAUUGGAGUCAUGAAUGUUUUUUGGACAAUAAACGUCCUUGACAAUUCUCUGGAGGUCUUCUUGGAUUAUUAACUCUGUUGAAGGUCUGAUUAAGCCAAAUCAGCAUUUGUAGUUCAUUUUCUGGGAGUAGCAAUGCAGUGAUGCAGGUGUAUAGUUGCCAUUAAUAUUAUCAUCAUCAAGUGGUCAUUAGUGACCCAUUGGGGACAGCACUAUGCUAGGCAUCAGUGCUAUCCAGCUGUCUUUCCAGAGUCUCUCACUUCCAGAAACCUCCACAUUCUGGUGUCCCCAAGCUAAUCUCUCAUUUUUAUUCUCUACCUAAGCCUGGCCCCUCCAGGUUUGUUACGGGGUCUCUGUCUUUUCAUUUAUCUAACCCAGAUAUGCACGUGUUGCUUGUGUUGGAGUAAAGUCUCAUCAGGUUGUUUUUAGGAAAAUUAACCUUACUUUUUAAAUCAUAAUUAGGUCUGAAAGAGGGAAAACGAGAUUACGUUUCUUCUUCUUUUUUUUUUUCUAAUUAAGAAUGCCAACUAUCAGACACUAGGUUGAAUUAUAGUUCUCCAGGACAAUCAGUUAAUAUAUGUAUAAUAUUAAAGUACAUGGUUACAAAGGGGUAACAGUAAACUUUUGAACUCUUAAUGUUUCAAGAGGAAUUCUUUACAAAUGAACUAGAAAGUACAUGUUUAUGAUAACAGGAUAUUUA